rnacentral:rRNA from 1 species
UACGUAUGGGGCAAGCGUUAUCCGGAUUUACUGGGUAUAAAGGGAGCGCAGGCGGCCUGGCAAGCCUGAUGUGAAAUACCGGGGCCCAACCCCGGGGCUGCAUUGGGAACUGCCAGGCUGGAGUGCCGGAGAGGCAGGCAGAAUUCCUAGUGUAGCGGUGAAAUGCGUAGAUAUUAGGAGGAACACCAGUGGCGAAGGCGGCCUGCUGGACGGUGACUGACGCUGAGGCUCGAAAGCGUGGGGAGCAAACAGG